rfam:Candidatus Colwellbacteria bacterium RIFCSPLOWO2_02_FTLL_45_11 rifcsplowo2_02_scaffold_9667, whole genome shotgun sequence.
GGAGAGGUGUCAGAGUGGUUUAAUGGCCAGGUCUCGAAAACCUUGGGGGGAGAAAUCCCCACGUGGGUUCGAAUCCCACCCUCUCCG